UCUUCAGGGCUACGCUGACGCGAGAGCGCACUGGAUUCCGUACCAUCAAUUCCAGAUUCUUCCUUCAAUUCGAUUAAAGUCUCCAAUUCAGCUCAAUCGAGUUAUUAGGGUUUCUGAUGAGCUUGUUCUUUUGCUGAAUUACCCGCCUUUGCUUGUCAACAAAACCCAGAAAAGAUGUCUUUGUAUCUUGGUAAUCUAUCAUCUCACAUUCGCAGAGAUGAUCUUGAACGUGUUUUCUGGAGGUUUGGGCGAUGUAAUAUACAGUUGAAAGAUGGAUAUGGCUUUGCAGUCUAUGACUUCCCUUCUAAUGCGGACAAAGCUAUGAGAGCAAUGCGAGGAAAGAACAUUUGCGGGGAGCGAAUAUCUCUAACAUGGUCGAAUAAACAGCCUAGAGGUUUUCAAAGAGGUGCAAGAUCAUAUGAGCUGCAACGUGGAAGGACUUCUAACAGAAAAUUGGGUUCUAAAAGUCAACGAGGUUAUAAAGUGGGUGUUAAAAAACUAGAUAGGGAUGGAUAUAGGUCUGAUGCUGUUGAGAUGCUUGAUGAAGAGAGAAGCUACAAUCAAGACAAUAUCAAAGAUUAUGGAGAAGAAAAUCAUCAUAAUGCUGGUGAAAAUUUGUCGUAUGAAGGUGGUAGCAUAGAGCCUGAUGCAGUGGACAAUGAUAGAUGGGGUCAGCAUGUUGGCAACCUGUCAAAUGGCAAUGGGCUUGAAAAUGGAAUGGAAUUUGACAGGUAUGAACCUUAUCAUGGUGAGGACAGGAGCAAUGAAGAUGACAAUAUUCAGAUGACCUAUUCUGGUGGCUCUCCUACUCUUAGAAGCACUCAAGAGAAAACAGGGAGAGAGCAGAUUGGUGAUGCAAUUUUGCUCCCAUCUAACAUUCCAAAACCCCAACUGGCAUGCUAUCAUUGUGGCAGACCAGGUCACAAAAUGCGGAACUGUCUGCAAGGAAGUGCUUCUCAGAAGAAGUUCUCCAGGUUUGAUCUUAAACGAAAUGAUGAAAUCAAUCUUAGAGGUAGUGGUGGAGGUGAGCUGCCAAGGACUGGUUCCAAGCCCCAUGAAAAGGGUCAGUCAGGUAGUAGAGAUACUAUAUCAUUGAGGUGGCAUACAAAUGAUAGGAAGGCAUCUGGUUCAGGAAAAUAUCGAAGGUUGAUAAGGAGUGGAAGUUCUGCUGCAAGAAAGGAAAGUCAUAGGGCUCAGGGAAAGGAGUAUGGAGGAAAGAAGCAAAGCAGGAUGGAAACAGGAACUCCAAAAAGACAUAUCAAGAAAGCACGAACUUCAGUUUCACCUCCUAUGCCUUCCGAUUAUACCACAUCCAGAUCAUGUUCUCAUUCAAAAUCCUUGAAAUCUAUACCAGGGUGUAGUUCUCCUUCUAGAUCAAGAUCGGUUUCUUCGAAACAUUUUCUGUCUUCUAUUCCAAAAUCCAGUUCAACAUCACGGAAUUCUAGGUCUGGAUGUGCUAAGUCCAGGAGGUCAAGUUCUCCUACAUCCCUGUCUUUGUCUGUCUCACUUGGUAAGCCUUUGCUAUCCUCUCCAAAUAAGGUGGAGAGGAAGCUGAAUGGCUCUUCUGUUGAUGUCACUAAUCCUGAGUCCAAGGAGGUUUUGGCUGGGCAGGGACAACGGGUAGAAGGUGAUGCAGGGUCAGAGAAUUCUAAACAAGAAAAUACAAUGGCGGCAGUGGAAAAUGAAAAUGCAGUGUCAUUCAUCAAAAUGGAAGAUGAUAUGAACAAAAAUCAACCUCAGCAGAGGGAUGAUCACGGAAACUGCAUCCCAUUGACAUCAAAUGAACUGAAAAAUCCAUGCACUGAGAAAGGUGCUUUUACUCCUACAAUUUUGUCUCCUGAGAGUCUGAGAGAAACUGCAGAACUUCAAAAUUCUGGUGCCUGGAUGAUGCAACAUCUGUUAGCACCAACCAAGAAGCCUGAUUCAGAAGCUAUGGCUGGUUCCUUUGCUGGUAAUUCAACAUGCAUAUCCUCGGAGGAGGUUUUCAAGAUUCUGAAAUACUAUGGCCUGGAACACUCAGAAGACAAUAAAAUGCAUUUACCUGUAGAGGAUUACUUUGGUUCUGCUCGCCUGUGGCCUUGGGAGAUCAUUUAUUACAGGAGGCUGAAAAAGGGUCCUAUUUCCACUGAGAACUAUGCUAGGCGGAUUGCCCAGAAUAGAGAAUUUGGUAUUGUUGAUAAGUAUAUCAGAAGCAGCAGUGGCUGGGGAGAAUUGGUUCAAGACAACGUUUGAGUGGUUUUAUCAGUAGAUGUGUUUUGGUUCUUGUAGAACCCAAGCAUGUUUGAAUUCCUUUUGCUUGUUAGACUGCUUUUCUUGAACAUCACAUGAAAGUUCUCUAGCAGAGCUCUCAGGAUGAAGCUUUUACAGCUUGGAUUGUUAACCUCUGAUUGGAUAUCGAGAGUCAAGUGGGGAGGGAGAUGGUUUGUUGUACUCUGAAGGUCAACAUAUGGUAAUGGUUUUUGUUUUUUAACCUAAUGUAAUGAGUGAGGAUGUUUCUGUAUAUGUUGUUUGAGUGUAGACUCUUCUUUUGUCCUUACAUUUGCUAAUGAAAAUUAGCAAAUUAGGCAUGGAUCACAUGGCUACAUAAAUCUUAGGAUGAAAAGCAGCAGCAGACUAUUUUAGACAGAAUAUUGUAUGAGUUUUCUUAAGCAUGAAUUGUUACAAUCUGGAAUGGGUGUUGAGAGUCAAUGAGGGGGUUUGUCCUAUCCUAAAAGUCAUCACAUAGUGACGAUUUAUGUUGUUUAACCUAUGUAAUUAAUGGGGGUGCUUUCGUAUUAUGCACCUUUU